rnacentral:rRNA from 1 species
UACGUAGGGGGCGAGCGUUGUCCGGAAUUACUGGGCGUAAAGGGCGCGCAGGCGGCCGUGUAAGUCCGCUGUGAAAGACCGGGGCUCAACCCCGGGGUGUCAGCGGGGACUGCACGGCUGGAGUCCCGGAGAGGGAGGCGGAAUACCUGGUGUAGCGGUGGAAUGCGCAGAUAUCAGGAGGAACACCGAUGGCGAAGGCGGGUCUCUGGGCCGAUAUUGACGCUGAGGAGCGAAAGCGUGGGGAGCAAACAGG